CACGAACGCUGGCGGCAGGCUUAACACAUGCAAGUCGAGCGCCCCGCAAGGGGAGCGGCAGACGGGUGAGUAACGCGCGGGAAUCUACCCAUCUCUACGGAAUAACGCAUGGAAACGGGUGCUAAUAACGAAUACGUCCUUCUGGAGAAAGAUUUAUCGGAGAUGGAUGAGCCCGCGUUGGAUUAGCUAGUUGGUGGGGUAAAAGCCUACCAACGCGACUAUGCAUAGCUGGUCUGAGAGGAUGAUCAGCCACAUUGGGACUGGGACACGGCCCAGACUCCUACGGGAGGCAGCAGUGGGGAAUGUUGGACAAUGGGCGCAAGCCUGAUCCAGCCAUGCCGCGUGAGUGAUGAAGGCCCUAGGGUUGUAAAGCUCUUUCACCGGUGAAGAUAAUGACGGUAACCGGAGAAGAAGCCCCGGCUAACUUCGUGCCAGCCGCCGCCGUAAAAC
rnacentral:rRNA from 1 species